rnacentral:rRNA from 1 species
GACGUAGGGCGCGAGCGUUGUCCAGAUUUAUUGGGCGUAAAGAGCUCGUAGGCGGCUUGUUGCGUCAGCUGUGAAAUCCCGCGGCUCAACUGCGGGUCUGCAGUCGAUACGGGCAGGCUAGAGUUCGGUAGGGGAGACUGGAAUUCCUGGUGUAGCGGUGAAAUGCGCAGAUAUCAGGAGGAACACCGAUGGCGAAGGCAGGUCUCUGGGCCGAUACUGACGCUGAGGAGCGAAAGCGUGGGGAGCGAACAGG